UCGAACCUGCACAGCAGAACGACCCGUGAACAUGUUCAUAAAACGAGCGGGCCAAAGCCGGCAAUUGCUAGCAUUGGCCCUUCUCGAGGCCUUAAUCAAGGUAAUUUGGUGUGAAGGCCCRGCCUUCCCUCCAACGUGCCUUGGUCUAGGCCUUCUAACAAACCCCCGGCGCGGAAAGCGCCAAGGAAUUUGCAAACAAAAAGAUCGGUCACCCCGAUUGCCUCGGAAACGGUGUGCAAAAGGGAUGUGCCAUCAUUUGAGAAUCUAAACGACUCUCGGCAACGGAUAUCUCGGCUCUCGCAUCGAUGAAGAACGCAGCGAAAUGCGAUACUUGGUGUGAAUUGCAGGAUCCCGCGAACCAUCGAGUUUUUGAACGCAAGUUGCGCCCGAAGCCUUUUGGCCGAGGGCACGUCUGCCUGGGUGUCACUCAACGUCGCCACAACCCCCUUCCUUUUGGAAUGGGGGGCGGAAGAUGGCCUCCCGUGUGCUAAUGCUUGCGGUUGGCCCAAAUGUCCGGUCCUCGGCAUAGAUGCCACGGCAAUCGGUGGUUGUACGACCCUCGCUAAAUGCUGUGAGCGUUCUGGUGUUGACGUGACCUACGAGUCCCCAAAGCGUAUCGGCAGAUGCGCUCGCAAUGCGACC
rnacentral:rRNA from 1 species